UAAUAAGUGUUUUUAUGGCACUUUUUAAAUCCAUAUCCACCUUGUGUGCAAUGUCAGUCGGUUUUUUCUUUUUUCGUCAAAAGGAAAAAAAGGAUCGACCAAACAUCAACUUAUUCUAAUUGAACUUUUUGUCUGAAAACUAUUAUGAAUAAAACUAAUUCAAAAUA
rnacentral:misc_RNA from 1 species